GUUGUCGUCAGCUCGUGUCGUGAGAUGUUGGGUUAAGUCCCGCAACGAGCGCAACCCUUGUCUCUAGUUGCCAAUAUUUAGUUAGGGACUCUAGAGAGACUGCCUCGGUUAACGGGAGAAGUGGGAUGACGUCAAGUCCUCAUGGCCUUUAUACCCAGGGCUACACACGUGCUACAAUGGGCUGUACAAAGGGUUGCUAACUCGCGAGAGUACGCUAAUCUCAAAAAGCAGUUCUCAGUUCGGAUUGGAGUCUGCAACUCGACUCCAUGAAGUUGGAAUCGCUAGUAAUCGUGGAUCAGCAUGCCACGGUGAAUACGUUCCCGGGCCUU
rnacentral:rRNA from 1 species